GACGAACGCUGGCGGCGUGCCUAAUACAUGCAAGUAGAACGCCGUUGCGAACGGGUGAGAAACUCGUAGGAAACUGCCUCAUUGCAGGGGAUAACUAUUGGAGACGCUAGCUUAUACCCCAUACUGUGAGAUGGACCUGCGUUGUAUUUGCUAGUUGGUGAGGUAAAGGCCGACCAAGGCGACGAUACAUUGCCGAGCGGAGAGGUGGAUAGGCCACAUUGGGACAGAGAAACGGCCCAGACGCCGACGGGAGGCAGCAGGAGGGAAUCUUCGGAAAUGGACGGAAGUCUGACCGAGCAACGCCGCGUGAGUGAGGAAGGUUUUCGGGUUGUAAAGCUCCGUUGUUAGAGAAGCGGUAUCUAACCAGAAAGGGACGGCUAACUCCGUGCCAGCAGCCGCGGUAAUAC
rnacentral:rRNA from 1 species